CUGUGAUUUUGGUUAUACCUGAUUUGACAUCAUUUCUUACUUAAGAUAAAAUCCAAGUAUUUUAGCAAAUUUUUUCUACCAAAAAAAUUGAAGCUUUCUUUAUAGAAUUUUCAAAACUGUUUCCUGAAAGUAGAAAGUCAGUAAUUUUCUUUUACUGGACUACAUUUGGUGUAUCCCCAACAAUUGAAAUCAGCAUUUUAAGCCAUUUUAAUACUCCGCUAGGAAGUAUCAAGGCCUGCAAAAAUGCUGCUUUGAAGUGCGAUGAAUUGAAAUUUGAACAGUACAAAUUGCUGGUUGGAGACCGCCUUACACCUGAUUGCCAGCUACGCAUGCAAAACUACCUUGAGAAGAUCAAACUCUUGGAGCAUUGAUGGUGGUCGAUAUUUUUCUAUUUGGUGUAGAUGAUUGAUAAGCCCAGCAUAUGAAGGUUUGUACUUUAUUCUUGAAACUAGUGCAUUCCCUGUUGUUUAACUGAUUUGUUGUCUAUGCUAUUUCUUAUCCUGUUGUUGCAUAUAUACUUUUGAGUUUGUUCACUUUCUCUCUUACAUUUUGCAUUGCAUAUAGUAGACGAUGAUAGGAUCAACUGGACACCAGUAGAGAACAAAAAGAAGCUAAAUUUUUUGUUCAUUGAACGCUCAAGUCCUGUUAAGUACAUUGUCCCAAACAUGAAGUUAGUACACUUUUCUUUUUCUUUUUCCCGUUUCGCUUACUGUUUUGUCAGUAAUGAUACAAUGUUUUAUUGGGUGUGGAGAUUGAGUGAGUUUGUGACUCUCGUGAAUGCUAUAUUAUUUGAUGAAAUGUGAUUGGAAAUUUGAAUAAAGCUAUGUGUACAAGGAUGUUUACAUUCUCCUUGACAUUCUUCCUAUGUGUCGAAAUCUGGAACGUGAUAGAAUGUUGUAGAAAUCAAUGGCUUUACGGAUGCCACGUGGACAAGUGUCAAACUUAAUGUAUAAGAGGAUGUACAUGUAUCAUGAUUGUGAUAAUUUAUGGUUCACCACCUCCAUGCAAUCUCUUUCAUAAGCUUUGAUGAAUUAAUUUGAAUUCUAAAAAUCAAAUGACUUUAUUUGUAUAUGUAUGGUUCUAAAUGGCAGAGAAAUUGAAAGAAGUUUCUGCUAGUACACAAUUUGAAUAUUUUUGGUCUGCACUAUUUUACAAAAUGGACAGGUUUAAAAAGGAAAAAUAAUGAGUAAAAAUUGUCUGUUUUACUGGCCAUUUUGUCGAAUACAUUUGUUAUUGUCAUUGGCUGCCUUUCCACGCAUGAAUCAAACAAAUAACAUCUUCCUUGGUGAUUAACUGUCUAUAUGAUCUGUAUUUUACCUGUCCUUUGCAGCUGAGGUUUAUGUCUGUUUUGACUCAUCCGUCUUUGCCAGGAGUUAUCAACCGAAUAUGGCCAUAUCUAUUGCAACUUGUAAUUAAGAAUGCAGGGGAUAAAGGAAUGGAUGCACAAGUUGAAAAUUUGUGUGAUAUCAAAGGCAUCGACUCCACUGUGAAACUUCAGCGGCACGAUUACUUUCUGGACCUAACAUAUUAAGAAGUACUAAACUUGGCGUGGAAAGACUUGGUACUUGGAGUGAUCCUAAUAUAGCUAGCAAUUAACACACAAUUGGGAACAACAUUUCAGCUACCAUUAUUAUAGCACAUUUGAUCCUGUUUAAAAGGAUUAUUUUAGAUGUUCUUUCAUGCAGUCAGUGGAUGCGUUUAGCUCAAGAAAAGCUGAACAAAAAUAUUUUAUGUUCAAACAUGGUAUGUAUAUGGACAUCCAAAUAUUCAAUAGAACUUGAAACCUUAUUGUACCUUUUGACUCGUUGACAUAUGCCUGCGACUGGUGGAUCAUGUAGUGCGGAACCUUUUAUUCAACCUUAUGGUUUGAGUCUUAAAGAAACCUUUGGUUUAAAUGAGUGCUACACAAAGUGAAUUCACG
rnacentral:lncRNA from 1 species